UCCUUGCACAAAGAGUCUCAGCAGGGCUUAGACUGAACAUGGGUGUCCUGCCUCUGCUUUUCUGUCUUCUGCUGCCCUGGUGCCCAGUCACCAGUGGGAGUGCUGCACUGACACAGUCUCCAGGCUUCCUGAGGGCAACUCCAGGAGAGAGCAUCUCCAUCAUCUGCAGGGCCAAUGAGAGUGUUAGUGAUUAUUUAACCUGGUAUCAGCAGAAGCCAGGCCAGGUUCCUAGGAUUCUCAUCUAUGAUGCUGAUAACCGAUAUCCCGGUGUCUCUAACCGCUUCACUGGCACACAGGAUGGGACAGAAUUCACUUUCAAAAUCAGCAGUGUAGAGGUGGGUGACUCUGGCACUUAUUACUGCCAGCAGGACUAUGCAGUCCCUCUCACGGUGUUACAGUCCCGUACAUAA